UCUGAUAGCCUCAAAUUCGUUCGAAAUCGCUGUGUAUGUGGCAUUCGUCUUAAAAUUAUGAAGAUCAAUGUUUUUUCAUCAAGAUUGGUGAAGUAGACAGUAGUAGUGUUUCUAUAAUGGACACGGACAUAUGAAAUAAACAAGCGCGUCAACUUGAAGCUGCUCUUUAUAUAAAGGGAAUUACCCAAACGUAU